GUCCUCGGCGCCCAGCCCCCUCUCCACGCCUCUCCGCGCUCAGCGCUCUCGGGACCGCACUUACCGGGAACUAGCCGCGCCGCGGCCGGACGCGCCUCGCUCCUGGGAAGCCGCGGAGACCUCACCAGCGGCCCUGCCGCGCCUACAUGAGGGCUUGGGGGCGCGCGGGGCUCCCCUUUUCUCCUACCCUGCUAAUCCUGCUGCUGUUUGGCCGAACCGGUCCGAGUGGCCCUCUCCAGUGCCCUCUCUGUCCCGGACUAGACCGAAGUAGGGGUGGGAGCAGAUUUGAGGGCCCCGAACUCAGGGUCAAAGGACAGUUUGCCCACCCCACCCCUCCUUUCUCUGGCCAGGCGGAGGAAGUACAGGAAUUCCAGCCAAACCUGGUUUCUCCAAGGUCCCGAGGCCGGGGUCUCCAGAACCUGGACAUUGAGGUUCGAAAUUCCCUUUCCAACACCCCAAGGGUGUGAUCGAAGUCGGGAAAACCAGCGACACUUUUAUUUUAAAACAAAACUUUAUUGGUAAUAGUUUUCAAAUAUGUUUACAACAGCACACUGUUCAAGAGGAAGUCUCAUCCUUCGAAGCACACAGGUUGAACGACCCCCUCGUCCACCCGGGGCCCC
rnacentral:lncRNA from 1 species